GACAUCGACACAGGGGACAACCCGGGACCAAUUGGCAAGUGGUUCAUCAGUGCUGGAGCAGUGGCAGCUGAUGGCUGAGCUGGGGGAGGCGAACUCUAUGCAGUCGUCACCGCCUUAUGACUUCUAAUAAGGUUUGACAUCUACAAAAUUUCAUUAAUAAACAUACAAAUUAAUCCAAUUUACCAAGAUAUAAUCUAAGCAUGUACAAUUUCAUUAAAAAUCUUAACUAAUUAAUUAAAGCAUAUCUUGCCCUAGGGUUUCACCCUGUUGCG
rnacentral:lncRNA from 1 species